CUUCUUCAAUCCCCGGCCUCAUGAUUUCCCGAUAUGUUUCUUUACGUUUUGAGUUGGAGUUUUGAUUUGGGUUUUCUUCCUUGUUGCUUUUGGUUUCUGGGUUUUUCUUUUUUUGGUAGCUUGAUUAAUCUGCGUGCUAGUUUUUGGCGUUUUAUGUUUUUGGGGGUCUGGUAAUUACGUUGUAUUUGGGGCAUAAUUGCAUUAUUAUGUCAAUGGCUUGAUUUUUCAUUCUCGGCUAG
rnacentral:lncRNA from 1 species